rnacentral:tRNA from 1 species
GCCUUCGUGGUGUAAUGGUAGCACACUCGGCGAAAAGUCCAGGUUCGAGCCCCGGCGAGGGCA